rnacentral:misc_RNA from 1 species
GCAUGCAUUAUUCAUACAAGAAUUGGCCAAUUUAUUGAUAGAGAUGAGAUUGAAGGCGAGGAUUGAGAAAGCAUUCAAGUGGGGUUGCUCUGAGGUUGGUUAAUCCAAUGCUCUCACUCAUAUCAAGCUGCUCGCUAGUUGGGUUUUCAAUAUCAAACCCCUGUAGCAAUGUAGCAAGAGUUAAUUGCAAAACCUGAAGAGCAAAAGAGACACCAGGGCACAUCCUUCUUCCAUUGCUAAAUGGUAUAAACUCAAAGUUUUGGCCCCUAACAUCAUAAUCUUUGUG